AACUGUUUUAAUUUAAUGCUUGAGUCUCUGUAACCAUAUAAAUGUAUUCUUCUUGUUUUCUAGUUAACUUGCAGCAGCCCAGUAUUUCCCACAGUGCUCCUGAUGGAUGGUUUGACGUGUGAUCACCAGUGGCCACAAUUUCACUAUCAUCUGUUCAACUCAAUCUCAGUAUCCUGGAGGAUCUUUUCACCUGUUCAGAGGAUCAAACAUCACCAGGACUGAGUCAGCUGUCAGUCACUCUGCCUCCUUCUUCUUUCCUGAGGCAGAUUAUUCACACGAGGGAAACUACAGCUUUGUUUAUGAAGUCAGUGUCUCCUCACGCUCCUUCCGUUCAUCUGCCUCUGAACUGCUGCUCAUCACUAUCACAGGUACUGAUGUGUAAGAGUCUAACUCAAAGCUGGACUGCUGGUAAUGAAAGUUCAAACUCAAACACGUGUGUCUCUCUCAGCCUCCCUGCUUCCUGUCAUUGGUGCUGCAGUGUCAGCUGUGCUGCUCUUAUUGUCUGUCCUCAUAAUCAUCCUCCUGCUGAAGAGAAGACAAAAGGAAAGGAACAAACAAAGUCAUUUGAGGUGCUCUUUUAUGAAAGGUCAAGCUGCAUCACAUAAUAGCAAAAAUGAAGAUGAUGAUGAUGAUGAGGCAGAUUAUGAAAAUGUGGAACUUGAUGAAAACAUGGAUCAUGAUGAUUAUGAACCGGACUAUAUUAAUGUGGACUCUGACCAUUCUGAAGAGAACUAUGUCAAUGUGAAUAUUACAGAGAAAAGUGUGGUGAAAGCUGUUGUGAUUAAUAUUGAGUGAACCCAAAAACUAAAAUUAUUGAGGCUCAAAACAGAUUAAAUAUGGCAGCCUUGAUUUGAAUCAGUUCAGUUGACAGUGUGAUGAACAGAGAGACAACCGCAUGGGAUGCUGACCACUAAUACAGUGCAUUCAUUCUGAGCACUGCCGUGUUCAUCACAGCCUGCUGCACAUAUUCCAACUGAUAGAUUUUUGUUUAGUGCAUCCAGUGAUUCAAGUGAACUGUGUCCCAGGGAUAUCAGAUCACAUUUAGUAAUAAGUGAAAUGGAGAGGAAGCUUUCUUUUAAUGCAUGUCAAACAGAAUAUGUUUGUUUAAUCUUGCUGUAUAUUUAUUAAAAUAUUAGCAAAGAUGCAAAUUUACAUUUAUUAAUUUAGCAGACACUUUUACAACUUACAAAGCAGUUUAGCAGACACCAAAGCAACUUACAAAUAAGGAAAGCAAUUUAUCACAAGGAGGCAAUAAUAGGAUAAGUGCUAGCAAUACAAAGUUUCAAACAUUGUCCAAAAGAAUACAAGUUAGAAGGAGGAGGGAUAGGGAUAGAGAUAGGAGGCUGUUCCAUAUGCAAGCAAUGUCUCAAUGUCUUGAAGUUGAUGUGAGCCGCAA
rnacentral:lncRNA from 1 species